UACGUAGGAUCCAAGCGUUGUCCGGAUUUACUGGGUGUAAAGGGUGCGCAGGCGGACUUGUAAGUCAGGGGUGAAAUCUCACAGCUCAACUGUGAAACUGCCUUUGAUACUGCAAGUCUUGGAUCCAGAAGAGAGUUGUGGAAUUCCGAGUGUAGCAGUGAAAUGUGUAGAUAUUCGGAAGAACACCAGUGGCGAAGGCAGCAACUUGGUCUGGUAUCGACGCUCAGGCACGAAAGCAUGGGGAUCAAACAGG
rnacentral:rRNA from 1 species